ACCAACCCACCAGCCAGCCAGCAACAACGUCAUACGUCACUCGAAGUUCUAAGCUGACCUUUCCCCGGCACCGCCAGUGACAUAUUUUCCAGGUCAAAGUAACUUCAUAUGAUUUCAUGCUGUGCUCGGGUGUACCCAACCCAAGUAUUUAUACACACACAUGCCACACUAUGCUUAUACCAGUAGAAACUGCGAGGAUCUCGAAGGGAGAGUGCUCAUCCUAGAUUUGAAGACAACACUCUAAUCGACCCCCCUCCAUUGUGCUGGUUACUUAGUCUGCAUAUGAGGUACAAGACCCGAAAUUUUGGGAGAGGGGCCAAUCGAUUAAAUCGACCCAAGAACGCAAUUGGUGCUUAA